rnacentral:lncRNA from 1 species
AAGAGACUACUAAAAAACAUUUGACACCUCACUACACGCUGUAGGAAGUUUACAGUAAAUAUAAACAAGAACUAGAUGACCCAGUCAGUUUAACUAUUUAUGGCAGCGCCUUUCGUAAGUCCGGAAUAAACAUCAAAAAUCCAAAAAAAAGAUCAUUGUCAUACAGGUGACGAAAUUAAAAUAAAAUUAUCAUACGCUCAAGCUUCCGGGAAGACAUUGUUACUGGAAAGGAGGGACAAUCGUCACAUGGAUGCUGAAUUUACUUAAGUAAUGAAGUUAACAGACAAUGAGCAGAGCCAAAAUGACCCAAACUUCACUUCAAUUGCAUUUUAUUUACAGGCGUGCUUGCCAACUACACGUAUGCAAACAUCAGUGACUUUCUAUAAACGACAAUUAUGAACAUUUAAUCUGACCAGGCGCAACAUGAAAACAUAAGUCGCUUCGGAGGAAACGAGAUUGCUUCUUGUGUGUUCCACGGACUCCGACAAAUAGACAAUAUAUUUCACAUGUCGUUUUGUACAGCGACUCAUGUACAGCUCAAAACAAAAAUAUGCACUUUUUGACAAUGUGCUUGUCGUUAAUGAGAAGUAAUGAAAACCCCAUAGUAACCCUGGAUCACAAAUUUAUGGUGCCUGGUCAUUCCAGGAUAGAAUGCGACAGCGAUAAUCGCAAAAUUAAAAAAAAAUAUUGGUCCAUUUUGCCAUCCACAUGAUUGGGCUACCUUAAUUCGAACGGUUCGAAAAAAAAUCCAUUUAUUGUGAAAGAAAUUGUAAGAGAUUUUUUGAUUAUGCGGACCUGUUGAAAACAGAAUUAUCAUUUACAAAAAAAAAACUGCCGCUGGUUUUGUCUGAAAGGAGGUUAAGUGGCUGCGGUUUGUUAAGCACCAACUACUAAAAGUUGACUAUAAAAAUAAUAUGAAAGAAGAAGAGCCUUUUAUGGUCACAGACUUGAAAAAGAGGUGUAAAUCAGAAUAUGCUUUAAUAACAAAAUAGGCUUACCAACAACCACUGACACCAUCAUUCGAAAAAAAAAAAAA